AUACAAUGUUCUUUUCUAAUUAUGUUUUAUUUAUCUUGCAUUUUUUAAUUACUUCUUGCUUAUCAUUUUUAAUUUCUAAUUACCCCUUGUUUUUUCUUUCCAAUUGCAGGUGGUUGAACCGUCAGAGGAAAGUGUUCUCGCUUUACCAGAGGACACGUCCUACACCAGGUCGAUGCGACCUCUACUCCCUCUCUCUCCCAGAUCCGAGCACGGAGCACGGACACAAGCAUUCCCAUACGCCCACGGCCAGAGACUCCACAGCAGC
rnacentral:lncRNA from 1 species